AGACCACCGGGCCAGGCGGUGUGGUCAACAGGUCCAGUAGACCACCGGGCCAGGCGGUGUGGUCAACAGGUCCAGUAGACCACCGGGCCAGGCGGUGUGGUCAACAGGUCCAGUAGACCACCGGGCCAGGCGGGGUGGUCAACAGGCCCAGUAGACCACCGGGCCAGGCGGUGUGGUCAACAGGUCCAGUAGACCACCGGGCCAGGCGGUGUGGUCAACAGGCCCAGUAGACCACCGGGCCAGGCGGUGUGGUCAACAGGCCCAGUAGACCACCGGGCCAGGCGGUGUGGUCAACAGGCCCAGUAGACCACCGGGCCAGGCGGUGUGGUCAACAGGCCCAGUAGACCACCGGGCCAGGCUGUGUGGUCAACAGGUCCAGUAGACCACCGGGCCAGGCGGUGUGGUCAACAGGGCCAGUAGACCACCGGGCCAGGCGGUGUGGUCAAAAGGCCCACAACAUGAGAUGUAUCCCAAAUUACAUCCUACUUUAUACAGUCCACUACUUUGACCAGAGCGCUAUGGGUCCUGGUAUAAAGUAGUGCACUAUAUAGGGAAUAGAGUUCCAUAGGGCUCUGGUCUAAAGUAGUGCACUAUAUAGGGAAUAGGGUUCCAUUUGAGACACUUCUAGGGUCACUAUCCCCUCGGCCCCCCCCCUCCCCCUACAGUCGGGACCAAACCCUGAACCCAGAACUCUGACCCCUAACCACAGGCUUAACCCCUGGCCCUUUCGACAGAGGCUGUCCUCUCUUAUCUUUGAUGUGUCCUGAGGGGGUGUGUGUGUGUUGUGAUCGGGGAUGAUGAGAGAGAGAACAUGCUUUUUACUUUUAUUAUAGCUAUGGAGGUCGUGAGGUGAUCUCCUUCAACAGAGAUAUGACCGAUAGACAGGUCGUGAGGUGAUCUCCUUCAACAGAGAUAUGACCGAUAGACAGGUCGUGAGGCGAUCUCCUUCAACAGAGAUAUGACCGAUAGACAGGUCGUGAGGUCAUCUCCUUCAACAGAGAUAUGACCGAUAGACAGGUCGUGAGGCGAUCUCCUUCAACAGAGAUAUGACCGAUAGACAGGUCGUGAGGCGAUCUCCUUCAACAGAGAUAUGACCGAUAGACAGGUCGUGAGGUGAUCUCCUUCAACAGAGAUAUGACCGAUAGACAGGUCGUGAGGUGAUCUCCUUCAACAGAGAUAUGACCGAUAGACAGGUCGUGAGGUCAUCUCCUUCAACAGAGAUAUGACCGAUAGACAGGUCGUGAGGUGAUCUCCUUCAACAGAGAUAUGACCGAUAGACAGGUCGUGAGGUCAUCUCCUUCAACAGAGAUAUGACCGAUAGACAGGUCGUGAGGUGAUCUCCUUCAACAGAGAUAUGACCGAUAGACAGGUCGUGAGGUGAUCUCCUUCAACAGAGAUAUGACCGAUAGACAGGUCAUGAGGUGAUCUCCUUCAACAGAGAUAUGACCGAUAGACAGGUCGUGAGGUGAUCUCCUUCAACAGAGAUAUGACCGAUAGACAGGUCGUGAGGUGAUCUCCUUCAACAGAGAUAUGACCGAUAGACAGGUCGUGAGGUGAUCUCCUUCAACAGAGAUAUGACCGAUAGACAGGUCGUGAGGUGAUCUCCUUCAACAGAGAUAUGACCGAUAGACAGGUCGUGAGGUGAUCUCCUUCAACAGAGAUUUGUCUGAUGUGUGUUUACAUAUGACUAGAUCAGAAUGCUCUGUUCACUGUCAAACCUGGCCUGCCCUGAGACUGUACAUAGACCUGUGACAUACCAUACCUUCACCUUGCUUUGGUUUUAACAUGUGGAGUUGCACUGUGAAAUAUUGAUGCAAGAGUUGCUCUGGAAUUGAAUGAAACAUCCACUGUAAAGUCAAACGUCAGCACCAAGACCGUGAUUAGACAAAACACAUACUGGUCAAAUAAUCUGACAUUGUGCCGUGUUUCCAUAGGCUUCAAACCAUGAAUGUCCUCUUUGAAUUGAGUUCACUUUCUUACCGUAUAUUUCAUCUCUCAUACCGUAUAUUUCAUCUUUCUUACCGUAUAUUUCAUCUUUCUUACCGUAUAUUUCAUCUUUCUUACAGUAUAUUUCAUCUUUCUUACCGUAUAUUUCAUCUUUCUUACAGUAUAUGUCAUCUUUCUUACCGUAUAUUUCAUCUCUCAAACUCAAUAGUUUCAUCUUUAAGAUUAUCGUUUUAGAACGAGCUAGCUUUUUAUUUUCCGAGACUAUUUCUUUAAACGUUCGUUGCUUAAAAAAAAAAAAAGUGUAACAUUUAUUUUCUCUCUUUUGGUUCUUUUUGAUUUGUUUUAGUGUUGUAGAAACUGGACAACGGCUGCAUUGAAGGGGAAAUUGUUGUGUAAAAAAAAUGAUAAUAAAGUGUUUGUCUUUA